AAUAGCCUAACGGCUGAACCAGCAACUUGGAGGAAUGUAUAGCGAAAGCUAAUUGUAUCAUAUUUAUAUGGUAUGAUGUCGAUUUAAUCGAAUAAAAUUCUGGGUGGAAUUUAAAAAAGAUAUUUUCUAUCUAUAUUUCUUGACUAAACCACGUGCCAGCAGUCGCGGCAACACGUAGCAGAUAAGUGUUAUUCAUCUUUAUUAGGUUUAAAGGGUACCUAGACAGCAAAUCAAGCUUUUAAAAAUUAAAUUUAAUAGGACUAAUUAGCUAGAGUUACUUAUGAGGAGGCUCAUAGGUACUUUCGGUGUAGAGAUGAAAUUCUUUGAUACCCUACCAUAGUUAUUAACGGCACAGGUAAAGGCGAAAGCAUCUUCUUAUGUGAUAACUGACGUUGAGGGACGAAGGCUUUGCUAACAAACAGGAUUAGUUACCCUAUUAAUUAAGGCAGAAAAUGAUGAGUGUCAUAGAUUAGGCAAAACUUAUUCUAUAAAUUAAAGUGUAAGCACUCCACCUCAAGAGUAAUUUGGCAACAUCGGAACUGAAAUCAUUAGACCGUUUCUGAAACCAGUAGUGAAGUAUGUUGUUUAAUUAGAUGGUACACAAAGCACCUUACCACAACUUGAAUGGAUACACAAAAAAAAAGAUAUGAUUAUUUAUAAUGAUGUAUUUUUAUUAAAAUUAUUAAUAAAAUUGUUAAUAAUAGUGUGUAUAAAGCGUUUUUUUUAAGAUUACGCGUACAAGCGUUGCACGGUUGUUUUUAGUUAAUGUCGCGAGAUUUUGGUUAGUUCCAUUAAAUUAACGUAAACCCUUAUUUUAUUUUGUUCAUAUAUAAAAUAGUUUUCCCCACUUAUAUAGGAUAUGAUAACAGGGGAUC
rnacentral:rRNA from 1 species